ensembl:lncRNA
CCCACCACCAGCCCUCAGAACUGAUACAGUAAUUGUGCAUUUUGUACACGUUACACUCUCCACCCAAACCUCUCCAGUCGCUUUGAUUCCUGUUUAAUGCCUUACCUUGCCUUUGGGGCUUCUUUUACAAAGACACCUGAGAGAGACAGACCUGUGAAUCACUGCUGAGGCUAUGCAGCCUGAUGCCUGGAGGCCUCACAGAGUCGCUAAGGUCGGAACAGACCACUGCGGCCAUCUAGGCCGACUGUCAGCCCAUCCCCACCAAACCACGUGCCUGACUGCCACACUCCCACGUUUCUCUAAAGCACAUCGCGCACGGACCCAAAAGCUCUGCCCUCCAGAAUCGCCGUUCUGCCCCUACGGCCAAAUUCAGCGCUGUGCUGAGGCCUCAAACCCAGAUAUCGUGUGCUACCUCCCAAAAGCCGGGGCACCAACACCCGGAGCCACAGGUCCCCAGCUCAGCCACCUUAAGCACCGCGCUGCACGGAGCAGGGAGACCAAGUUAGCAACACAUCACGGCCCAGGGUAAUCCCCGAGGCAGCACCGAUACCAGUCGGUUUCCACACCGAAACACCACGAAAGGUACUUUUACUAAAAUAGGUUCCAUAGCGAAAAAAGCCGACGAUAAAACCAUUUUUUGGGGCUUCGGCUGAGUGUGGCAUGAGCACGUGUUUAGCUACACGGGUCACACAACAAGCACCAAGAAACGCAACCCUAAGCAGCAGCACGAUUUAGGAGAACCGUUCGCCCAGCAGCCGCUCAGGGACACGGAGCGCAGCAGAAAGGGGCGCCCGCAGGCAGUCGGCAACCUCCGACAGAGCUCCGGGACCGGUCGAGCAGCGACGGGAAAGGCUUCCGAGCGCUCGCAGCCACUCUGCGCGGCGCGGCACAACAGGAAGGAUGCAAAGCCACUGACACGUGGGGACAUGGAAAUGAAGGAGAGCAAGAAAGUCAGGAGCAUCUGCUUACAGAGAAGAGAGAACAGGUUCACACCAAACAAGAAAACCUGCACUUAACAAGUGAAAGCUCAUUUCACACUCACUGCAAAGAGCAAACAGGCUGGGGAAAGAAUUGAACAAAGAAUGUUAUGACUAUUGACCUGAGACAGUCUCCUGGAAAUAAUCUGACAGCAGGGAGCAGCAAGUCCUUUUCAAAACCAACGAAGCAAGAAAAUGAUGCCGACUAAGAUAUUGUGAGAGAUAUGGGGGAGACAGAUAAAAAGGUGGAGAAGGAGGAGAACCAAUGAAACUACACCUUAACCUCAUAUCUAACAUUCCUUUAAAAGAAAGUAACGUUUUCAAGGCCAUCACUUAAUGACAUCUCUGCUGUAACUAAUCCUCAUUGCAAAACAGACACUUGUCUGCAGACAGCUGGCUUGCUUACCCCAUGGCUGCAGGGUUUUUGCACAUGGUGCUAUGUAGCUUUGAAUUAUAAUGGCCUGUGGUAGCUUUGGGAAACAAGGUGGCAUUUUUGUGAACUUCAUCUCAGCUGAUGUUCUUCACCUGAGGAUACAUCUUUUCAGUAAAAGGCCACUGCCUGUGACACAGAAAUACUGAAAUGUUUGCAUGUUUGUAUUAAGAAAAACCCAACAACCACAUACAAAGCAAAGGCAUUCCUAGUCUUGAUGAGAUCAUCAUCAGCCAGCAUCUCAGGACCACUUCCAUAGUAAAAUUAUGGCUUCACGGGAACCCUGAGGAUGAAGAGGACCACGCUGGGAUGCAUUUUAUCCAACCUGUACCUAACAGUGACAAAAAGAUGUAACAAUGGGCCUAUGUGCUCUCUUAAAUAAGUAACAGUCACCAUCUUAAAUAGUUUAAGAAUGACUGAAGCCCUCACGUGUUUGUAUUGGAGAAAGUUCCCACUCAGGAUUUGGGUUUUGUUUGUUCUUAAUGAUUUUUGGUUCUUUACACCGACCUCCCGUUCUUUUUGUCCAUAUCCACAUGCACACAGAGAAGUUUCUCACUGAAAUGCAAAACCUUCAGUGUUAGUUCAUCUCUUGAGUUAAUCCAUUUACACCAAAAGCCAAGAGACUGAAAUUAUUACUGUGGAGGGCUGGCAGAGGGGCUCCGUUGGGAAGCAGAGCAGUGGAUUUGAAUUCCCUGUCCCUCAUUGUUUUCCCACAUUGUCUGCUAAUCUAAACUGCAUGUAAACAAAGGGGAUUUCAUUAGCAAAACUGAAGCUGUAGAUGAACCUUAGCUUUUAUUUAUGGCAUUUCUUGGUGAAACAGAGGCUUUUUUUCUCCCCAUCACAUCAUGAGGGAGUGCAGAGUCAUUAGAUAAAUGUUCUAAAGCACCAGAAAUCACCUAUUUAUUCUUAUUCAGAUAUGUGUUGCCACUGUCACACAGCAAUUUCAUGACUAAGUUUGUACACCUUGAUGUUUUUAACCAUGAUAUCACACUGUAGGAUUCCUUUUUAAGAAAGAACUUCUUGGUUAUUUCAAGGAGUAAAACCCAGAACAGAGCAAGUGGAUUUUCAGAACUUGGAAUCGUUAUCUAUAAAAGAAAUUUCCUCUGUUGUACCAAAGGCAGAUGUCCUGCAGCAGCACUGAUAGCAAGGUACAGAAAACCAAAUCUAAACUUUUGAUGAAAUAAUGGCAGUACUUUUCCAUGCAUUCAGGAUCAAAAAAAUAGCCGAGUAAACGUAAUAAAGGAAUGAAGAUAAAGCCCAAGCAAAGAUGCCACAAACCACCUCUGGGAUUAAAGCAAGCAUGUGUAAUGGGAGCCCGAAGGGUAAUGUAUUCAGGAAGCUGUAAGUGCCUGAAAAUGAAGGCUUAGAAUGAAAGCACCUCUUCAGCCAUAACUCUGGUGUCAGUAACGUAAAGCCAUAAUCUUUUUUCCUAUUUUCCAACUAUUAUCUAAGCACUAAGUGUCAGUUAAGUUGUAACAGAUCAAGAAUUUUCAGUGGGCUGGAAAUCAUCUUUUGUUGCCUCAUUUCAUAUAUAUAGGGAUGUUAAGAACAAAAUUACAAUUUUGUCAUUGUGUUUAACUGAUCUUUGGUUUACUGCUGCUGCGACAACCUUUUAAGGAGAGACUGUGAAAUGAAAUGAUACUUCAGCACCCUAAUAGACUGAAAGUGUCUUUUUUUUUUUUUUUCCUUUUUGAACCAGAAUUUAACACCAGAAAGGUUAAAGCCUAGAUCUGUGAUAAAAGCAUGAGAGACGCAUAUUUGUUAGCAGGCACAUAAAGGGAUCCUGGUUCAAACCCUUCUCGUCUUUUGAGGGCUGACAGACAAAAUGUAGCUGUCCGGAGUCAAAGCGUGCCUUUGCCUUACAAAUCUUGUUAAUAACAGAAAAGAUAGUCUACUUUUGCUUAACUGUUUUACUGAAGUACUGCAACAGAGAAAGUUAUGCACAAUGUGCUCCCCAUCCACAGGUUCUAACGUGUAUAACACUUUAUUCUCUUUAGAAGGUAUAGAGGCAAGUGAUAAAUAUAUAUAUGUCAAUUAAAAAAAAAUUAUGUUGAGGUACCUUAAUUUAAGUAAUGUUUGGUCACUGCUUGCAUGAGAGAAAUGGAGAGGAUGAGGUGGGAAAAAUAGCCAUGCCAG